UACAGCAACUCUAAUAAACAAAAUACAGUUCCUUAGUUCCUUAAAAGGUGGGAUUGGGGUGGGUGGUGUAUUUGUGCAAUAGAAUCUGACAGCACUGGCAGUUUAUCAGGAAAUAUACAUGGUUUUAUUUUUGGUAACAGAGAUGCUAGAAGUCAAAUCUGCCUGGAUGCUGUAGUUUCUGAUGAAAUACUAAAAUUCAAAUCCAGGAUGUACAUGAACCAGCUGAGAUUACUCAGUGGUGAAGGCAAAGCCUUCUGGAGCCACUCAAGGGUACUCUUUUUAAAUUACUACUUUACUUGUUCCAGAGUCAAGCUCAACAAAUGGUUCCAGUUUCCAGAAAUUGUUCUGCAAGCUUUUGGAAUACAGCACAUUCUAAGUAGAUCCUCUGCAAUCAUAAAUGAAAAAUCACAAGACACUUUCUUUCUGAACCAUAUGCAGCCAUGCAACCUUUUCCCCUUUACAUAUUCAAUGUAAUUUAUGUAUUUAGAGUUUGAGAUCUUGAUUAAGACAGAGAAGUAGGGUAUAAAUAAAUAAAACAAUGAUAAUGAUAACAAUAGAUGUCAAUAUCCAUGGAUGCUCAAGUGUCAUUAUAUAAAAUCAUGUAGUAACAUGGUUUAGUUUCCUUGGAAGAAACCUGUGAUGUCUCAUGGGCCAUGUAGUCCCGUUCCUCGUACUAUUGUGGCAGACGAAGAGGAAAACUUGGGUUUCCCACUGAUUCAGCCAGAAUCGGAGCCCCUGCACCUGCAGGAUGUUUGCCCUCAAGAAGUCAGCCAAACAAGCCUUGGGCAGAAUUCUCCCCCGUUCUCUCGUAAGGAUAAUUAUAAUAGAGAUAGAGGCGCUAGGGAGGCGAAGCGCCGAAGCGCCAGAAUCGCUGCCAGACAAUUAGCUGAUUAAGCCUGUUUCCCUUGGGAAAUCUUAAGGAGUCAUGCAUCUGGACACAGUUUGGGUUUCACUUCUUGUUCCCCAGGGAAAGUGUUCCUUGGCGGGAAAACAAGAUCCUAUAUAGGUGUUUUACCGCAAGGAGAUCCUUGCGGAGUCAAUUCGUCAGCUUCAGGAGUGAGAUCGUGUGUGGACUACGCUACUCCAGUUCCUUGUUUCCAGGACCAAGUUCCAAGCCUGCCUUGUUCCCCGGACCUCGCCAUGGACCUUGUUCUAGUUCCAAGCCUGCCUUGUUCCCCGGACCUCGCCACGGACCUUGUUCUUGCUUCUUGUUGCCUCGUAUCAAGUCUUGUUUGCCAAGAAUCUAGUUUGUUUUCCAGCCUUGUUGUCAAGCUCCAUUGGACUAAAGGACCUUGUCAUUUCCCCACACUUGCUCGGCAAGUGUGUGUUUCGGUUAUUGGAUUAUAACUUUGGACUCUAAUAUCACAUAUUGGACAUUGUUUUCCUGGACUAUAUUUGACCUUUCCUGAAAGGUCUACUUCUGAACUAUACUCUUCACUUGUUUUUAUUGACUUUAUAUAUUCCUUUAAUAAAGAUAUUAGAUAGA